GACCGUAUCGGUUAGAUCGGGAUACUCAUCAAUAAAAAAACGAAAACCGAGAUGAUUUCUAUUGCUAAUGGCGGGCCACAUUCCUUCGGGAUAGCUGUAGAGCCGGUGGAUUACAAAGGCGUAGAACUCUCAAAUCUUAUUAGCUCGGAGUUUCAUCACAUCACGAUGCGGUCUUUUAG
rnacentral:sRNA from 10 species